rnacentral:rRNA from 1 species
UUAAGCGACUAAGCGUACACGGUGGAUGCCCUGGCAGUCAGAGGCGAUGAAGGACGUGCUAAUCUGCGAAAAGCGUCGGUAAGGUGAUAUGAACCGUUACAGCCGGCGAUGUCCGAAUGGGGAAACCCAGUGUGAUUCGUCACACUAUCGUUAACUGAAUACAUAGGUUAACGAGGCGAACCGGGGGAACUGAAACAUCUAAGUACCCCGAGGAAAAGAAAUCAACCGAGAUUCCCCCAGUAGCGGCGAGCGAACGGGGAGCAGCCCAGAGUCUGAAUCAGCUUGUGUGUUAGUGGAACGGUCUGGAAAGUCCGACGGUACAGGGUGAUAGUCCCGUACACCAAAAUGCACAGGUUGUGAACUCGAAGAGUAGGGCGGGACACGUGGUAUCCUGUCUGAAUAUGGGGGGACCAUCCUCCAAGGCUAAAUACUCCUGACUGACCGAUAGUGAACCAGUACCGUGAGGGAAAGGCGAAAAGAACCCCGGCGAGGGGAGUGAAAAAGAACCUGAAACCGUGUACGUACAAGCAGUGGGAGCACCUUCGGGUGUGACUGCGUACCUUUUGUAUAAUGGGUCAGCGACUUAUAUUCUGUAGCAAGGUUAACCGUAUAGGGGAGCCGCAGGGAAACCGAGUCUUAACUGGGCGUUAAGUUGCAGGGUAUAGACCCGAAACCCGGUGAUCUAGCCAUGGGCAGGUUGAAGGUUGGGUAACACUAACUGGAGGACCGAACCGACUAAUGUUGAAAAAUUAGCGGAUGACUUGUGGCUGGGGGUGAAAGGCCAAUCAAACCGGGAGAUAGCUGGUUCUCCCCGAAAGCUAUUUAGGUAGCGCCUCGUGAAUUCAUCUUCGGGGGUAGAGCACUGUUUCGGCUAGGGGGUCAUCCCGACUUACCAACCCGAUGCAAACUACGAAUACCGAAGAAUGUUAUCACGGGAGACACACGGCGGGUGCUAACGUCCGUCGUGAAGAGGGAAACAACCCAGACCGCCAGCUAAGGUCCCAAAGUCAUGGUUAAGUGGGAAACGAUGUGGGAAGGCACAGACAGCCAGGAUGUUGGCUUAGAAGCAGCCAUCAUUUAAAGAAAGCGUAAUAGCUCACUGGUCGAGUCGGCCUGCGCGGAAGAUGUAACGGGGCUAAACCAUGCACCGAAGCUGCGGCAGCGACACUAUGUGUUGUUGGGUAGGGGAGCGUUCUGUAAGCCUGCGAAGGUGUGCUGUGAGGCAUGCUGGAGGUAUCAGAAGUGCGAAUGCUGACAUAAGUAACGAUAAAGCGGGUGAAAAGCCCGCUCGCCGGAAGACCAAGGGUUCCUGUCCAACGUUAAUCGGGGCAGGGUGAGUCGACCCCUAAGGCGAGGCCGAAAGGCGUAGUCGAUGGGAAACAGGUUAAUAUUCCUGUACUUGGUGUUACUGCGAAGGGGGGACGGAGAAGGCUAUGUUAGCCGGGCGACGGUUGUCCCGGUUUAAGCAUGUAGGCUGGUUAUCCAGGCAAAUCCGGAUAAUCAAGGCUGAGGUGUGAUGACGAGGCACUACGGUGCUGAAGUAACAAAUGCCCUGCUUCCAGGAAAAGCCUCUAAGCAUCAGGUAACAUUGAAUCGUACCCCAAACCGACACAGGUGGUCAGGUAGAGAAUACCAAGGCGCUUGAGAGAACUCGGGUGAAGGAACUAGGCAAAAUGGUGCCGUAACUUCGGGAGAAGGCACGCUGGUGUGUAGGUGAAGUCCCUGCGGAUGGAGCUGAGACCAGUCGAAGAUACCAGCUGGCUGCAACUGUUUAUUAAAAACACAGCACUGUGCAAACACGAAAGUGGACGUAUACGGUGUGACGCCUGCCCGGUGCCGGAAGGUUAAUUGAUGGGGUUAUCCGUAAGGAGAAGCUCUUGAUCGAAGCCCCGGUAAACGGCGGCCGUAACUAUAACGGUCCUAAGGUAGCGAAAUUCCUUGUCGGGUAAGUUCCGACCUGCACGAAUGGCGUAAUGAUGGCCAGGCUGUCUCCACCCGAGACUCAGUGAAAUUGAACUCGCUGUGAAGAUGCAGUGUACCCGCGGCAAGACGGAAAGACCCCGUGAACCUUUACUAUAGCUUGACACUGAACAUUGAGCCUUGAUGUGUAGGAUAGGUGGGAGGCUUUGAAGCGUGGACGCCAGUCUGCGUGGAGCCAACCUUGAAAUACCACCCUUUAAUGUUUGAUGUUCUAACGUUGGCCCCUGACCGGGGUUGCGGACAGUGUCUGGUGGGUAGUUUGACUGGGGCGGUCUCCUCCUAAAGCGUAACGGAGGAGCACGAAGGUUAGCUAAUCCUGGUCGGACAUCAGGAGGUUAGUGCAAUGGCAUAAGCUAGCUUGACUGCGAGCGUGACGGCGCGAGCAGGUGCGAAAGCAGGUCAUAGUGAUCCGGUGGUUCUGAAUGGAAGGGCCAUCGCUCAACGGAUAAAAGGUACUCCGGGGAUAACAGGCUGAUACCGCCCAAGAGUUCAUAUCGACGGCGGUGUUUGGCACCUCGAUGUCGGCUCAUCACAUCCUGGGGCUGAAGUAGGUCCCAAGGGUAUGGCUGUUCGCCAUUUAAAGUGGUACGCGAGCUGGGUUUAGAACGUCGUGAGACAGUUCGGUCCCUAUCUGCCGUGGGCGCUGGAGAAUUGAGGGGGGCUGCUCCUAGUACGAGAGGACCGGAGUGGACGCAUCACUGGUGUUCGGGUUGUCAUGCCAAUGGCACUGCCCGGUAGCUAAAUGCGGAAGAGAUAAGUGCUGAAAGCAUCUAAGCACGAAACUUGCCCCGAGAUGAGUUCUCCCUGAGACUUUAAGUCUCCUGAAGGAACGUUGAAGACGACGACGUUGAUAGGCCGGGUGUGUAAGCGCAGCGAUGCGUUGAGCUAACCGGUACUAAUGAACCGUGAGGCUUAACCUU